ACCCUUUCCUCUCCCCAGAGCCCGGCGGGAGGGGGUCCCUGAGGGUGGGGGCACCCUCAGGGCACUAUAGUGCCAGGAAAACGAGUAUGUUUUCCUGGCACUAUAGUUGUCCUUUAAGGUGAAAUGAGGACAACACUUCAGUCAAAACUCAAACCGUGUGAAGGUCAACUGUAUCUUGAUGGAAACUGUAAAUGUUUUUUUUCACAGUUGAGAUCCUGGAGCCGUGAAACUUUAUCCUGAGACGACAGCCAGCAAAAAAAAAAAACAAACAGGCUCAAGUGUUGAGAACAUUAAGAAGUACUUCACACAUGGAUUCAAAUUGGUGCCCAUUGAGGCUCUGAAGUACCAACGGUAAUUCCCAGGGAGGAGAAACGUUUUUGAUGGAAAGCUAUAUCUUAAAGGGACAUGCAUCACUUGACUUCUUUAUUUUUUAAACCCAACAAGCAAAAGCAAAUGCUUACCCAAAUGUAAUAAAAGUGUUCUGUGUUAAAACCGCUAUCUUAAAGCGGCACUGUCAUGGCCGCAUCCGUUUCUUUUUUUUUUUAACCCCCCCUCCCGACUCUAAUACAUCUAAUAGCCCCCCUGGUCGCCUAAGUUGCCCCUAAG